rnacentral:rRNA from 1 species
AUGAACGCUAGCUACAGGCUUAACACAUGCAAGUCGAGGGGCAGCAUGGUCUUAGCUUGCUAAGGCCGAUGGCGACCGGCGCACGGGUGAGUAACACGUAUCCAACCUGCCGUCUACUCUUGGACAGCCUUCUGAAAGGAAGAUUAAUACAAGAUGGCAUCAUGAGUCCGCAUGUUCACAUGAUUAAAGGUAUUCCGGUAGACGAUGGGGAUGCGUUCCAUUAGAUAGUAGGCGGGUAACGGCCCACCUAGUCUUCGAUGGAUAGGGGUUCUGAGAGGAAGGUCCCCCACAUUGGAACUGAGACACGGUCCAAACUCCUACGGGAGGCAGCAGUGAGGAAUAUUGGUCAAUGGGCGAGAGCCUGAACCAGCCAAGUAGCGUGAAGGAUGACUGCCCUAUGGGUUGUAAACUUCUUUUAUAAAGGAAUAAAGUCGGGUAUGCAUACCCGUUUGCAUGUACUUUAUGAAUAAGGAUCGGCUAACUCCGUGCCAGCAGCCGCGGUAAUACGGAGGAUCCGAGCGUUAUCCGGAUUUAUUGGGUUUAAAGGGAGCGUAGAUGGAUGUUUAAGUCAGUUGUGAAAGUUUGCGGCUCAACCGUAAAAUUGCAGUUGAUACUGGAUAUCUUGAGUGCAGUUGAGGCAGGCGGAAUUCGUGGUGUAGCGGUGAAAUGCUUAGAUAUCACGAAGAACUCCGAUUGCGAAGGCAGCCUGCUAAGCUGCAACUGACAUUGAGGCUCGAAAGUGUGGGUAUCAAACAGGAUUAGAUACCCUGGUAGUCCACACGGUAAACGAUGAAUACUCGCUGUUUGCGAUAUACAGCAAGCGGCCAAGCGAAAGCGUUAAGUAUUCCACCUGGGGAGUACGCCGGCAACGGUGAAACUCAAAGGAAUUGACGGGGGCCCGCACAAGCGGAGGAACAUGUGGUUUAAUUCGAUGAUACGCGAGGAACCUUACCCGGGCUUAAAUUGCAGAUGAAUUACGGUGAAAGCCGUAAGCCGCAAGGCAUCUGUGAAGGUGCUGCAUGGUUGUCGUCAGCUCGUGCCGUGAGGUGUCGGCUUAAGUGCCAUAACGAGCGCAACCCUUGUUGUCAGUUACUAACAGGUUCUGCUGAGGACUCUGACAAGACUGCCAUCGUAAGAUGUGAGGAAGGUGGGGAUGACGUCAAAUCAGCACGGCCCUUACGUCCGGGGCUACACACGUGUUACAAUGGGGGGUACAGAGGGCCGCUACCACGCGAGUGGAUGCCAAUCCCAAAAACCUCUCUCAGUUCGGACUGGAGUCUGCAACCCGACUCCACGAAGCUGGAUUCGCUAGUAAUCGCGCAUCAGCCACGGCGCGGUGAAUACGUUCCCGGGCCUUGUACACACCGCCCGUCAAGCCAUGGGAGCCGGGGGUACCUGAAGUGCGUAACCGCGAGGAGCGCCCUAGGGUAAAACUGGUGACUGGGGCU